rnacentral:rRNA from 1 species
GACGAACGCUGGCGGCGUGCUUAACACAUGCAAGUCGAACGGAAAGGCCCUGCUUUUGUGGGGUGCUCGAGUGGCGCACGCGUGUGUAACACGUGAGUAACCUGUCCUUGACUUUGGGAUAACUUCAGGAAACUGGGGAUAAUACCGGAUAGGAGCUCUUGCCGCAUGGUGGGGGUUGGAAAGUUUCGGCGGUUGGGGAUGGACUCGCGGCUUAUCAGCUGCUUGGUGAGGUAGUGGCUUACCAAGGCUUCGACGGGUAGCCGGCCUGAGAGGGUAACCGGCGACAUUGGGACUGAGGUACGGACCAGACUCGUACGGUAGGCAGCGGUGGGGAGUAUGGCAGAGUGAGCGGAAGCCUGAGACGGCAACGCCGGGAGCGUGAAGACGGCCUUCGAGUGGUGAACAGAUGUCGAAUGUGACGAGGAGUGAGUGACGGUAAUGAGUAAAGAAGCACCGGCUAACUACGUG